rnacentral:rRNA from 1 species
CAGUCGCCGCGGUAAUACGAAGGGUGCAAGCGUUACUCGGAAUUACUGGGCGUAAAGCGUGCGUAGGUGGUGGUUUAAGUCCGUUGUGAAAGCCCUGGGCUCAACCUGGGAAUUGCAGUGGAUACUGGGUCACUAGAGUGUGGUAGAGGAUAGUGGAAUUUCCGGUGUAGCAGUGAAAUGCGUAGAGAUCGGAAGGAACAUCUGUGGCGAAGGCGACUAUCUGGGCCAACAAUGACACUGAGGCACGAAAGCGUGGGGAGCAAACAGGAUUAGAUACCCCCGUAGUCCCUGUCUCUUAUAC